UGCUAGCAGCAUAUGCUUUCUCGGAUGC
rnacentral:sRNA from 1 species